rnacentral:rRNA from 1 species
UACAGAGGGUGCAAGCGUUAAUCGGAAUUACUGGGCGUAAAGCGUGCGUAGACGGUUAUUUAAGUCAGGUGUGAAAGCCCCGGGCUCAACCUGGGAAUUGCAUUGAGACUGAAUAGCUAGGGUGCGGGAGAGGGUAGUGGAAUUCCCGGUGUAGCGGUGAAAUGCGUAGAUAUCGGGAGGAACAUCAGUGGCGAAGGCGGCUACCUGGCCCAAUACUGACACUCAGGUGCGACAGCGUGGGGAGCAAACAGG